rnacentral:lncRNA from 1 species
AAUUUUUAACUCAAACUUUCUCAAUUAUUGUAAUAAAAUCUCAAAACUCAAUUUAAUUAGCUAAAUAUUAAUAAAUUAUUAUCAAAUUAUCAAUUAUAAUACUUUCCUAUCACUCGUAUAUCAUUAAUUUAUCAAUAUUUAACUAAUAAAAUAUGAUCAAAUUAAUAUAAAGUUUAAGUCGAAUCAAAUUAGGAUUUGAUCGAUCUAACCAAUUAAGAAAAGGAUAAAUUUAAAUAUAGAUUUGUACUUAUCCUUAGUUGUCAUUAUAUUAUUAGAAAGAGGAUUAUAUUCCUCUAUAUAAUAUACGGGAGUUUUUAUAAAAUAACGUCCUUUGCAAGGGAGCUAACACUCCGGUGAGGAUAUCGAUUAAAUCAAGAUCGAUAAAAUUAAGAACGUUGUGUGGAUACCUAUAGAGGCUGGACGCGUGUGCGGCUUUAAGAGAACCCGAUACCACGAUCAUCAAAUUAAGGUGAAGAUUUAUCCGCGAAUAAGAUAAAGAAUCAAUCUUACUUUUCUCCUUUAAUCUUAAAAAAUAUGAGGGAUCCUAAUUGCGUGGUUUUUGAGAUUGGAUCUCAAGAGUUUUCAAAAUCAAAUUUGUUUUAUUUCUUUUUCCGCGAUUUUAAAAUUAGAUUUUAAAAUUUGAUUAUAAUUGUUCUGAAAAUCAUUACCGGCCGUCCCUAGCGCAAGUAGUAAAGGGCUUGGUGGUUGGUACCUGAGGUCCCAAAUUCGAACCCUAGUUGAUUCAUAUUUCCAACUAAAUUUAUUUUUAAAUGAAGUAACGAAGUGGGCAGCAUGUUAUCUAUUUCUCAAAAAAAAAAAAAAAAAACUGAAAA